rnacentral:rRNA from 1 species
UACGUAGGGUGCGAGCGUUGUCCGGAAUUAUUGGGCGUAAAGAGCUCGUAGGCGGUGUGUCGCGUCGGCCGUGAAAACCCGCAGCUCAACUGUGGGCUUGCAGCUGAUACGGGCGGGCUGGGAUUCGGUAGGGGAGACUGGAAUUCCUGGUGUAGCGGUGAAAUGCGCAGAUAUCAGGAGGAACACCGGUGGCGAAGGCGGGUCUCUGGGCCGAUAUCGACGCUGAGGAGCGAAAGCGUGGGGAGCGAACAGG